rnacentral:rRNA from 1 species
UACGUAGGGUGCAAGCGUUAAUCGGAAUUACUGGGCGUAAAGCGUGCGCAGGCGGUUGGGUAAGUCAGAUGUUAAAUCCCCGGGCUCAACCUGGGAACUGCAUUUGUGACUGGCCAGCUAGAGUAUGGCAGAGGGGGGUGGAAUUCCACGUGUAGCAGUGAAAUGCGUAGAGAUGUGGAGGAACACCGAUGGCGAAGGCAGCCCCCUGGGCCAAUACUGACGCUCAUGCACGAAAGCGUGGGGAGCAAACAGG